rnacentral:rRNA from 1 species
UACGAAGGGGGCUAGCGUUGCUCGGAAUCACUGGGCGUAAAGCGCACGCAGGCGGAUCGUUAAGUCAGGGGUGAAAUGCCGAGGCUCAACCUCGGAACUGCCUUUGAUACUGGCGAUCUUAGAGUCCGGGAGAGGUGAGUGGAACUCCGAGUGUAGAGGUGAAAUUCGUAGAUAUUCGGAAGAACACCAGUGGCGAAGGCGGCUCACUGGCCCGGUACUGACGCUCAGGUGCGAAAGCGUGGGGAGCGAACAGG